CCGCCGCCUGUGGGGCCGCUCCCGGGGCUCCCCCGCCGCCGGGUGCCCAGAGCCCCUCGCCCGCAUCGGCCGGGCUGCAGGAGGAGGAGGAGGAGGAGGAGGAGGAGGAGGAGGAAGAGUAGGAGGAGACCGGGCGCUUUCACUCCUCAGAGGCUGAGGCAAAAGACAGAAAAAGGAGGAGGGGAAUAAAAAGUAAAGAGGGGGGAGAGAGAGUGAAAGAAAACUAAGCCCAGCUUUUGCCGGUGCUGCUUGGAUUGGAUCUGGUUUGAGUUUCCUCUCUGCUGGCUUGAGCAGCAAGAGAAGGAGGAGUGGGGGGAAGUAACUCGCUCACUCUUCCUCUGAAGCUUUAGCAAGCGUGCUGGUGCCUGCGCUGGCGGGGAGCUGCCCGGGUGCAGUUGUCUCGCAGCUUAUUGCUCUCAGUUUCUAGAGAACUGCCUGGACUUCUGGAGGACCUGGAGGAAAGAGACAUCAUAGACCUGAUAGUUGCUCACUGCCUAUAGACUUGACACAUGUUUUUGUUUUUUUUCCUAGGGGAUUCUUUCUAAAAAAUAUUUUUCUCCCGUGUCUCAGAACAGCAGUUCCUUGAGUGGCUUUGAAAUCCAUUGCUUCCUAAACAACUUCGGGAGAUAUUUUUAAAAACUUUUUCCCCCUCUCUUCUGUUUUCAUUGCCAAAAAAAAACAAAAAACAAAAAAAAACAAAAAAAAGGAGAAAAAAGAUAAUCCUUUUGGGGGAGGGGAGAUGAUCGUGCUGAUGUGGAAUAAGUGCUCCUGCUGUCUCCUCUUACUAGCCGCGGUCCUGAUCGUGGAGAGCUCCCAGCUAGACAGCUCCAGCUCCAAGGUGAACUCCAUCAAGUCCACCCUGAUGGGGGAGGCUCCAACUCAGGCAACCAACAGAUCUGCAGGCAUCCACCAGGGACUGAUGCUUGCUAGCAGUAAGAAGGGCAAAAUGCUAGAGCAGAUGGGAAAACCUCCCAAGCACUAUCACCGGCAAGGAGAGGGUUAAUAACUGAUGGAAGAAAGAGCAAUCCAGCAAACUAUCAUCUUCAGCAUUUCUUUGUUUGAUUCCUUCUGUCAGAAGCAAAUCAAGAAAUUUCUUCUUAACUCUCAAGAUAGUAAAUGAGUUGAAUUUGAAUAGGUGAG
rnacentral:lncRNA from 1 species